GAUGAAGAACGUAGCAAAAUGCGAUAAGUAAUGUGAAUUGCAGAAUUCAGUGAAUCAUCGAAUCUUUGAACGCACAUUGCGCCCCCUGGCAUUCCGGGGGGCAUGCCUGUUCGAGCGUCAUUUCACCACUCAAGCCUCGCUUGGUAUUGGGCAACGCGGUCCGCCGCGUGCCUCAAAUCGACCGGCUGGGUCUUCUGUCCCCUAAGCGUUGUGGAAACUAUUCGCUAAAGGGUGUUCGGGAGGCUACGCCGUAAAACAACCCCAUUUCUAAGGUUGACCUCGGAUCAGGUAGGGAUACCCGCUGAACUUAAGCAUAUCAAUAAGCGGAGGA
rnacentral:misc_RNA from 1 species